ensembl:snRNA U6 U6 spliceosomal RNA
UCUUCUUUGGAGAAAAAUUAGAAUAAUACAGAGAAGAUUAGCAUGGCCCCUGCAAA